rnacentral:rRNA from 1 species
AGAGUUUGAUCAUGGCUCAGGACGAACGCUGGCGGCGCGCCUCAUGCAUGCAAGUCGAACGAGAACUAAGUCAUUCGUAAGAUUGAUUUAGGGACAGUGGCGAACGGGUGCGUAACACGUGAGAAACCUGCCCUGGAGACCGGGAUAGCCCGAGGAAACUCGGAUUAAUACCGGAUACCCUCUUUGGACCGCAUGGUCCGAUGAGGAAAUGGUCUGCCGCUCCAGGAUGGUCUCGCGGCCUAUCAGCUAGUUGGUGAGGUAAUGGCUCACCAAGGCUCCGACGGGUAGCUGGUCUGAGAGGACGAUCAGCCACACUGGGACUGAGACACGGCCCAGACUCCUACGGGAGGCAGCAGCAGGGAAUAUUGCACAAUGGGCGAAAGCCUGAUGCAGCGACGCCGCGUGCGGGAUGAAGGCCUUCGGGUUGUAAACCGCUUUCAGGAGGGACGAAAAUGACGGUACCUCCAGAAGAAGGCCCGGCCAACUACGUGCCAGCAGCCGCGGUAAUACGUAGGGGCCAAGCGUUGUCCGGAUUUAUUGGGCGUAAAGGGCUCGUAGGCGGUUUGACAAGUCGGACGUGAAAACCCGGGGCUCAACCCCGGGACGCCGUUCGAAACUGUCAUGACUAGGGUCCGGUAGAGGUGAGUGGAAUUCUCGGUGUAGCGGUGGAAUGCGCAGAUAUCGAGAGGAACACCAGUAGCGAAGGCGGCUCACUGGGCCGGUACCGACGCUGAGGAGCGAAAGCGUGGGGAGCAAACAGGAUUAGAUACCCUGGUAGUCCACGCCGUAAACGUUGAACACUAGGUGUGGCGAGUUAAUCCAUACUUGCCGUGCCGCGGCUAACGCAUUAAGUGUUCCGCCUGGGGAGUACGGCCGCAAGGCUAAAACUCAAAGGAAUUGACGGGGCCCCGCACAAGCGGCGGAGCAUGCGGCUUAAUUCGAUGCAACCCGAAGAACCUUACCUGGGCUUGACAUUAUGGGUCUAUCCCUAGAGAUAGGGAGUGCUUAUGCGCCCAUAACAGGUGGUGCAUGGCUGUCGUC